rnacentral:rRNA from 1 species
AACAGGAUUAGAUACCCUGGUAGUCCACGCUGUAAACGAUGUCGAUUUGGAGGUUGUGCCCUUGAGGCGUGGCUUCCGGAGCUAACGCGUUAAAUCGACCGCCUGGGGAGUACGGCCGCAAGGUUAAAACUCAAAUGAAUUGACGGGGGCCCGCACAAGCGGUGGAGCAUGUGGUUUAAUUCGAUGCAACGCGAAGAACCUUACCUACUCUUGACAUCCAGAGAACUUUCCAGAGAUGGAUCGGUGCCUUCGGGAACUCUGAGACAGGUGCUGCAUGGCUGUCGUCAGCUCGUGUUGUGAAAUGUUGGGUUAAGUCCCGCAACGAGCGCAACCCUUAUCCUUUGUUGCCAGCGGUUCGGCCGGGAACUCAAAGGAGACUGCCAGUGAUAAACUGGAGGAAGGUGGGGAUGACGUCAAGUCAUCAUGGCCCUUACGAGUAGGGCUACACACGUGCUACAAUGGCGUAUACAAAGAGAAGCGACCUCGCGAGAGCAAGCGAACCUCAUAAAGUACGUCGUAGUCCGGAUUGGAGUCUGCAACUCGACUCCAUGAAGUCGGAAUCGCUAGUAAUCGUAGAUCAGAAUGCUACGGUGAAUACGUUCCCGGGCCUUGUACACACCGCCCGUCACACCAUGGGAGUGGGUUGCAAAAGAAGUAGGUAGCUUAACCUUCGGGAGGGCGCUUACCACUUUGUGAUUCAUGACUGGGGUGAAGUCGUAACAAGGUAACCGUAGGGGAACCUGCGGCUGGAUCACCUCCUU